CGGCGAGUGAAGCGGCAGCAGCUCAAAUUUGAAAUCUGGCACCCCCCGCGGGGGCCCGAGUUGUGUUCUGCAGAGGACGCUCCGGGCGCGGCGCCUUCCGAGUUCCCUGGAACGGGACGCCGCAGAGGGUGAGAGCCCCGUACGGUCGGACGCCGUGCCCGUGUGGAGCUCCCUCGACGAGUCGAGUAGUUUGGGAAUGCUGCUCAAAGCGGGAGGUAUAUGUCUUCUAAAGCUAAAUACAGGCCGGAGACCGAUAGCGCACAAGUAGAGUGAUCGAAAGAUGAAAAGCACUUUGGAAAGAGGGUUAAAUAGCACGUGAAAUUGCUGAAAGGGAAGCGCCCGCGACCAGACUCGGGCCCGGCAGGCCACCCGCCGUCCUCGGCGGGGCACCCUGCCGGGCGCGGGCCAGCAUCGGCGCGCGGCGGGGGACAAAGGCGGCGGGAACGUGGCCCCCCUCGGGGGGUGUUAUAGCCCGCCGCGCAACGCCCCGCGGCGCGCCGAGGCACGCGCACCGCAAGGAUGCUGGCGUAAUGGUCGUCGGCGACCCGUCUUGAAACACGGACCAAGGAGUCGUCCUCGCACGCGAGUGUUGGGGUGCCAAACCCCCACGCGCAGUGAAAGCGAACGCUGGUGGGAGCCUCCGGGCGCACCGCCGACCGAUCCUGAUGUGCUCGGAUGGAUUUGAGUAGGAGCGUGCGGGGCCGGACCCGAAAGAAGGUGAACUAUGCCUGCGUAGGGUGAAGCCAGAGGAAACUCUGGUGGAGGCUCGCAGCGGUUCUGACGUGCGAAU
rnacentral:rRNA from 1 species